GAUGUGCUACAUUGAAAGGUCAUAGACAACUUCAUAGCUACACCUUGUAUGCAUCAAGAUGUAUUGCAUAAGUUAUCAACAUAUGUGAAGAGGGUCUUUCACAGGUAAUAAUUUGCUGUAGAGAAUAGAAUCCCAACAACAAAAUGAUAUAGUAUGAAGAUCUUGAUGAAGUCUAAGACCUGCACUUCUUUGCUCCCCACUAGCUUGUAUAGGUGGUUUCGUAGCAUAUCAUUAGGAAGUGUAUUUUGUCCAUUUAAUAGACAGGUCAGCCAGUUAGACUUCUCCUUUCCCCUGUCAAACUCCACUUUAUCCCCGAAGAGAGGAAGGCCCAUACUUGAAUAAUGGUGCCACCAUUCUUUAGAGUUUGGUUCUUAGCGGACCACAUUAAAAGCUUUGUCUUGCUUGAUCAAGGAAGACCCAA
rnacentral:lncRNA from 1 species